UCCUACGGGUGGCAGCAGUGGGGAAUCUUGCGCAAUGGACGAAAGUCUGACGCAGCCACGCCGCGUGAGUGAAGAAGGCCUUCGGGUUGUAAAGCUCUGUCGGGCGGGACGAAAACCCAUUCGGUGAACAGCCGAGUGGACUGACGGUACCGCCAAAGGAAGCACCGGCUAACUUCGUGCCAGCAGCCGCGGUAAUACGAGGGGUGCAAGCGUUGCUCGGAAUUAUUGGGCGUAAAGGGUAGGUAGGUGGUCUCGUUUGUCUGGGGUGAAAUCCUUGAGCUUAACUCAAGAAGUGCCCCAGAAACGGCGAGACUAGAGUACUGGAGAGGGUCGUGGAAUUCCCGGUGUAGCGGUGAAAUGCGUAGAGAUCGGGAGGAACACCAGAGGCGAAGGCGGCGACCUGGACAGUCACUGACACUCAACUACGAAAGCGUGGGGAUCAAACAGGAUUAGAUACCCGAGUAGUC
rnacentral:rRNA from 1 species